rnacentral:rRNA from 1 species
AUACGUAGGGGGCGAGCGUUGUCCGGAAUUAUUGGGCGUAAAGGGUUCGCAGGCGGUCCUUUAAGUCAGAUGUGAAAGACAUAGGCUCAACCUAUGUAAGCAUUUGAAACUGAAGGACUUGAGUUAAGGAGAGGAAAGUGGAAUUCCUAGUGUAGCGGUGAAAUGCGUAGAUAUUAGGAGGAAUACCAGUGGCGAAGGCGACUUUCUGGACUUAUACUGACGCUGAGGAACGAAAGCGUGGGGAGCAAACAGGAUUAGAUACCCUGGUAGUCCACGCCGUAAACGAUGAGUGCUAGGUGUUGGGGGUCAAACCUCGGUGCCGCAGCUAACGCAUUAAGCACUCCGCCUGGGGAGUACGUACGCAAGUAUGAA